AUUGAACGCUGGCGGCGUGCCUAACACAUGCAAGUCGAGCGGUAACAGGUGUAGCAAUACAUGCUGACGAGCGGCGGACGGGUGAGUAACGCUUGGGAAUCUGCCUAUUAGUGGGGGACAACCCGGGGAAACUCGGGCUAAUACCGCAUACGCACUACGGUGGAAAGCCGGGGACCGCAAGGCCUGGCGCUAACAGAUGAGCCCAAGUCGGAUUAGCUAGUUGGUAGGGUAACGGCCUACCAAGGCGACGAUCCGUAACUGGUCUGAGAGGACGACCAGUCACACCGGAACUGAGACACGGUCCGGACUCCUACGGGAGGCAGCAGUGGGGAAUAUUGGACAAUGGGCGAAAGCCUGAUCCAGCGACGCCGCGUGGGUGAAGAAGGCCUGCGGUUGUAAAGCCCUUUCAGUGGGAAGAAAAGCCUCGAGCUAACACCUCGGGGUCUUGACGUAACCCAUAGAAGAAGCACCGGCUAACUCUGUGCC
rnacentral:rRNA from 1 species